UAGGGAAUCUUCCGCAAUGGGCGAAAGCCUGACGGAGCAACGCCGCGUGAGUGAUGAAGGUCUUCGGAUCGUAAAACUCUGUUAUUAGGGAAGAACAAAUGUGUAAGUAACUAUGCACGUCUUGACGGUACCUAAUCAGAAAGCCACGGCUAACUACGUGCCAGCAGCCGCGGUAAUACGUAGGUGGCAAGCGUUAUCCGGAAUUAUUGGGCGUAAAGCGCGCGUAGGCGGUUUUUUAAGUCUGAUGUGAAAGCCCACGGCUCAACCGUGGAGGGUCAUUGGAAACUGGAAAACUUGAGUGCAGAAGAGGAAAGUGGAAUUCCAUGUGUAGCGGUGAAAUGCGCAGAGAUAUGGAGGAACAACAGUGGCGAAGGCGACUUUCUGGUCUGUAACUGACGCUGAUGUGCGAAAGCGGGGGGAUCAAACAGG
rnacentral:rRNA from 1 species